rnacentral:rRNA from 1 species
CCUACGGGUGGCUGCAUUAGGGAAUCUUGGACAAUGGGCGAAAGUCUGAAGGAGCAACGUAGCGUGAGUGAAGAAGGCCCUCUGGGUGGUAAACUUCGUUGAUAUAGAAGUAAGAUGGUGCGAGUGAGUGCUUAUGUAUGGACCAUAUGAAUAAGGAUCGGCUCACUCAGCGACAUGAGACGAGGUAAUGCGGAGGGUACGAGCGAUGUCCGGAUUGAUUGGGUUUAUAGGGAACGUAGGUGAGUUGUUAAGUCAGUUGUGAAAGUCUGCGGCUCAACCGUAGAAUUGCAGUUGAAACUGGCAGUCUUGAGUACAGUAGAGGUGGGCGGAACUCGUUGUGUAGCGGUGAAAUGCUUAGAUAUAUCGAAGAACUCCGAUUGCGAAGGCAGCUCACUGGACUGUAACUGACACUGAGGUUCGAAAGCGUGGGUAUCAAACAGGAUUAGAUACCCUAGUAGUC